rnacentral:rRNA from 1 species
UACGAAGGGGGCUAGCGUUGUUCGGAAUUACUGGGCGUAAAGCGCACGUAGGCGGAUUAGUAAGUCAGGGGUGAAAUCCCGGGGCUCAACCUCGGAAUUGCCUUUGAUACUGUCUAUCUUUAGUCCGGGAGAGGUGAGUGGAAUUCCUAGUGUAGAGGUGAAAUUCGUAGAUAUUAGGAAGAACACCAGUGGCGAAGGCGGCUCACUGGCCCGGUACUGACGCUCAUGUGCGAAAGCGUGGGGAGCAAACAGG